rnacentral:rRNA from 1 species
GACGAACGCUGGCGGCGUGCUUAAUACAUGCAAGUCGAACGAAGUGGCGAACGGGUGAGUAACGCGUAAUCAACCUGCUCUUCAACGGGGGACAACAGUAGGAAACGACUGCUAAUACGGCAUACGGAAGAAGGGGACUGGGUCGGAUUGGCUAGUUGGGGGGUGAAGGGCCCACCAAGGCGAGGAUCAGUAGCCGGUCUGAGAGGAUGAACGGCCACAUUGGGACUUAGACACGGCCCAGACUCCUACGGGAGGCAGCAGUGGGGAAUAUUGGACAAUGGGCGAAAGCCUGAUCCAGCCAUGCCGCGUGUGUGAAGAAGGUCUUCGGAUUGUAAAGCACUUUAAGUUGGGAGGCGUUACCUACAGAAUAAGCACCGGCUAACUACGUGCCAGCAGCCGCGGUAAUAC